ACUUAUUCAUUCAAGUGGCCAAUGUUCUCAGGCACUGAUCUUGUAAGAUUUCUUCUGACAAUUUCUGGCAACAAGAGGAUUAUUGUAAGCUCUUAUGAUUUCACAUACAGGCCAAUCCUUACCAGCUUAUGAUAAUCCUUUUGUUGUGAGGAAUGAAUGUUAACAGGAUCAACACUUGAGCAUAUUGGGCAGUUGAAUGAUUAGU
rnacentral:pre_miRNA from 1 species